CUGCUUUUCAUAAAAAGUCUUUUGGCUUUUUCUUCGUUGAAAACUCUACUUUCUGGUAAUAUAAAAAAUGUAUAUGUAUGUAUAAAUUACUGUGGUCAAUCCUUUUCUACUGAUUUAGCUAACUGAAGAUGAAACAAAGGAACAAUGUGAUUGAAAUGCUAUCUUCAAAUACGAACUACCUCUUAGUGUUUUCAAAACAAUCUGCCACAUCACCCAUUCCUACUGUCCAGUUAUAUCUAAUUAUGUAAAAUAUGAAAAAGGUGUGAAUAAUUAUUUGUUGCUUUACUUGAA